UCGAGCGGAAGGCCCUUCGGGGUACUCGAGCGGCGAACGGGUGAGUAACACGUGAGCAACCUGCCCCAAGCUUUGGGAUAACCCUCGGAAACGGGGGCUAAUACCGAAUAGGACCUUCGGCCGCAUGGUUGAGGGUGGAAAGUUUUUCGGCUUGGGAUGGGCUCGCGGCCUAUCAGCUUGUUGGUGGGGUGAUGGCCUACCAAGGCGACGACGGGUAGCCGGCCUGAGAGGGCGACCGGCCACACUGGGACUGAGACACGGCCCAGACUCCUACGGGAGGCAGCAGUGGGGAAUAUUGCACAAUGGGCGGAAGCCUGAUGCAGCGACGCCGCGUGAGGGAUGACGGCCUUCGGGUUGUAAACCUCUUUCAGCAGGGACGAAGCGAGAGUGACGGUACCUGCAGAAGAAGCACCGGCCAACUACGUGCCAGCAGCCGCGGUAAGACGUAGGGUGCGAGCGUUGUCCGGAUUUAUUGGGCGUAAAGAGCUCGUAGGCGGCUUGUCGCGUCGACCGUGAAAACUUGGGGCUCAACCCCAAGCCUGCGGUCGAUACGGGCAGGCUAGAGUUCGGUAGGGGAGACUGGAAUUCCUGGUGUAGCGGUGAAAUGCGCAGAUAUCAGGAGGAACACCGGUGGCGAAGGCGGGUCUCUGGGCCGAUACUGACGCUGAGGAGCGAAAGCGUGGGGAGCGAACAGGAU
rnacentral:rRNA from 1 species